rnacentral:rRNA from 1 species
AACGCUAGCUACAGGCUUAACACAUGCAAGUCGAGGGGCAGCAUGGUCUUAGCUUGCUAAAGCUGAUGGCGACCGGCGCACGGGUGAGUAACACGUAUCCAACCUGCCGUCUACUCUUGGCCAGCCUUCUGAAAGGAAGAUUAAUCCAGGAUGGCAUCAUGAGUUCACAUGUCCGCAUGAUUAAAGGUAUUUUCCGGUAGACGAUGGGGAUGCGUUCCAUUAGAUAGUAGGCGGGGUAACGGCCCACCUAGUCAACGAUGGAUAGGGGUUCUGAGAGGAAGGUCCCCCACAUUGGAACUGAGACACGGUCCAAACUCCUACGGGAGGCAGCAGUGAGGAAUAUUGUCAAUGGGCGAUGGCCUGAACCAGCCAAGUAGCGUGAAGGAUGACUGCCCUAUGGGUUGUAAACUUCUUUUAUAAAGGAAUAAAGUCGGGUAUGCAUACCCGUUUGCAUGUACUUUAUGAAUAAGGAUCGGCUAACUCCGUGCCAGCAGCCGCGGUAAUACGGAGGAUCCGAGCGUUAUCCGGAUUUAUUGGGUUUAAAGGGAGCGUAGAUGGAUGUUUAAGUCAGUUGUGAAAGUUUGCGGCUCAACCGUAAAAUUGCAGUUGAUACUGGAUGUCUUGAGUGCAGUUGAGGCAGGCGGAAUUCGUGGUGUAGCGGUGAAAUGCUUAGAUAUCACGAAGAACUCCGAUUG